CCUUAGUAGCCUCGCAAACCCGUAUUUGAGAGCAAAGACUUGAAACUUAGCAAAGAUUUAGCUCUACGGAAAUGGACACGACGAUGUCCAUUUUCUUGUAAACCAACUCUAAGAAAGUGAUGCGACAAUGAAUUUUGAAAGAGAUUGUUUUUAUGCCCA